rnacentral:rRNA from 1 species
UACGGAGGGGGCUAGCGUUGUUCGGAAUUACUGGGCGUAAAGCGCGCGCAGGCGGUCUUCCAAGUCAGUGGUGAAAGCCCGGAGCUCAACUCCGGAACUGCCAUUGAAACUGUGAGACUUGAGGAUGAGAGAGGUGAGUGGAAUUCCCAGUGUAGAGGUGAAAUUCGUAGAUAUUGGGAAGAACACCGGUGGCGAAGGCGGCUCACUGGCUCAUUUCUGACGCUCAGGCGCGACAGCGUGGGGAUCAAACAGG